rnacentral:rRNA from 1 species
GACGAACGCUGGCGGCGUGCUUAACACAUGCAAGUCGAACGGUGACCCUCGGAGCUUGCUUCGGGGUGAACAGUGGCGAACGGGUGAGUAACACGCGAGUAACCCGCCUCUGACUCUGGAAUAAGCGCUGGAAACGGCGUCUAAUACCGGAUACGACACGCCUCCGCAUGGGGAGCGUGUGGAAAGUUUUUCGGUCUGGGAUGGACUCGCGGCCUAUCAGCUUGUUGGUGAGGUAAUGGUUCACCAAGGCGAUGACGGGUAGCCGGCCUGAGAGGGCGACCGGCCACACUGGGACUGAGACACGGCCCAGACUCCUACGGGAGGCAGCAGUGGGGAAUAUUGCACAAUGGGCGAAAGCCUGAUGCAGCGGCGCCGCGUGAGGGAUGACGGCCUUCGGGUUGUAGACCUCUUUCAGCAGGGAAGAAGCGAAAGUGACGGUACCUGCAGAAGAAGCACCGGCUAACUACGUGCCAGCAGCCGCCGUAAGAC